rnacentral:lncRNA from 1 species
AUCUCAAUACGGAUCUUUGAUCCGAAAAUAAUCCUAGUAAGUUUUCACAAUCCAUCAGUGAUGUCUAACAGCAUGUAGUGGUAAUUUAGUAGAAUAAAAAAGAUGAACCCCUAGGUACAGUUAUCAUGUGAUACAAUCCCUCUAUCGUGAGUCCCGACUAGAUGGAUGUCAUAAAAAACUCGUCAAAUCCUAUCGUCAGUCAUAUGCUAGAUUGG